rnacentral:hammerhead_ribozyme from 1 species
AUACAGCUGAUGAGUCCUAAACAGGACGAAACGCUUGUACAAUAU